CAGUCUUGCCAAUCAAGGAGUGAAAACAGGAACAGAAGCAUGUAGAAUCUGAAGAAGCAAAAGGUUUAGUUUCAGAGAGACCAGCCUUGAGCUCUCCCUGGACAAUGUCAACACUGGCAAGAAACCAUGAUCGUCAUGUCCUUCAUCAUAAGUAGAGUUAGACCUAAGCUAUUCCAGGAGGACUGAUCUGACAGGCGAAUGCUUCAGAGAUCAGAAGAGACAACACACUCCUUCCCAGUGUCAUUAAGGCAUCUCAACCAUCUUCAGUGGAAGCAAAGCAGAAGGAAAUUAGGGCUGGAAAGUAGAUGGA